GGUCGACUCUCUAUGAUAGAUUGUCCUAAGUUGGCGAUGGCAGCAUUUGGGAGGAGUAAAUAACAUCUUCAAGGCCUUAACCUGUUCCAAGGCCUUUUCAUUCUAUGAUGUAAGAGUUGUGUAUCCAUGGUAUACAUAGCACCACAUAAAGCAGCUCUCAAGUGUCAUCUCUGGACUGGGGAUGGAGCUCAGAGGAGCAAGGCAUCUAGCUCCCUCAGCCUUUCUUGCAGUAGAGACCCCACAUCCUGGCUGGGUGCCAGGUUGGGAGUAAGGGUUCUGCUUGCUGCGGUGCGGACCCCUCGUGAUGGUCGCCGGGAUCGAGGAAGGCUACUGUCCCGAAAUUCUACUGCCCUUCGGAGCUUCCUAGAGCUGGUAAAAAUCAGAGUUCCAUUGCGCUCCCGUGGUUCCUCAAAGAUGGUCUCAAAGGUCCUGGGUCAGGCAGGGAGCAAGAGAUCUUUACCAGGAUUCUCCCUGGUUCAAACAGCCCUCUACUGCCCUCAGACCUUCCAAGUUUCUCACCUUCUGGUUGUGGGUGAUUGGUAGUUCUUAUUUGUAUAAAUUUCUUCCAAAGUGAACUCCUUCUUAUUCAACCUGGAAACAAAGAGCAGAGGGCACUGAAGAUAUGGGCAAAGCCUGAUGCUGAUGGGAAUUUUGGUUUCUGGGCCAGGUGAGAGUCAGAAGUGAUAGGUG
rnacentral:lncRNA from 1 species